ACAUAGAUUUAUAGUUUAAAAAAACCCACUCUUUUCAACGGCCGACCGGUGGUAACGUACCAGACGCUCUCCCUCCUCAUUUCUCUCAUUGCCUUUUCUCAGAUCUCACUCUUCUUUUUUCUUGAUCCGGGUUUAUUUGUUUUCUCCCUUUUUUUGGCUUGUUUCGAUAAAUUUCUUCUAUUACCAUGGCUGCUCCACCUGCAAGAGCUCGAGCCGAUUACGACUACCUCAUAAAGCUCCUUUUGAUCGGCGACAGCGGUGUGGGUAAGAGUUGCCUCCUUUUGCGUUUCUCAGAUGGCUCAUUUACUACAAGUUUCAUCACGACCAUUGGAAUUGACUUUAAGAUAAGGACCAUAGAGCUUGAUGGAAAAAGGAUCAAACUGCAAAUUUGGGAUACUGCUGGGCAAGAGCGGUUUCGAACAAUUACAACCGCUUACUAUCGUGGAGCCAUGGGUAUCUUGCUUGUUUAUGAUGUGACUGAUGAGUCAUCUUUCAAUAACAUUAGAAAUUGGAUUCGUAAUAUUGAACAGCAUGCUUCGGACAAUGUCAAUAAGAUUCUGGUGGGUAAUAAGGCUGACAUGGAUGAAAGCAAAAGGGUCUGUUUCUCUUUCUCUCUCUUCCAUGUGCGCACGUGUGCUUGUAUUUGCAUGCAUUUAUUGUUACCCUUCUGUUUGCCAUACUGGGCUGGAUAUUUUUCUUGUCGAGUUGACCAGGAUAUUUUUCAGGCUGUCCCUACCUCAAAGGGUCAAGCUCUUGCUGAUGAAUAUGGCAUCAAGUUCUUUGAGACUAGUGCAAAAACAAACUUAAAUGUUGAGGAGGUUUUCUUUUCAAUAGCCAGGGACAUUAAGCAAAGGCUUGCUGAUAGUGACUCGAGGGCUGAGCCACAGACAAUCAAAAUUAACCAAGCAGACCAGGCAGCAGGGGCUGCAGCAGCUGCUCAAAAAUCAGCCUGCUGCGGGUCUUGAACAAACUACGCUGAGGAUGAGAUUUGAAGGGUACAUUUUCUUCUCUAGGGAGCCAUUUUGGUCCAGAAAACUAAUUUUGUUACAACUAUAUUGUACAUGUUUGUAUGCUCCUGCUCAAUGCCAUGAUUAUUUUAUAUCUGCUACUCUUUGGUGUGAAAUGUUAGAUCCUUGGUAUUUUGCAAAAUUAAUUAUAUUAGAUUAUUUUUCCUAAAUAACAUGUGUUUGAAUCGAAAGCAAAUUUGUCUACCAUUUUGAUAUAUGGAGUUGAAAUUAUGAACUGCCCUAGCCUUCCCUGAACAGAUGCAAACCAGGCUAGACUGGAUUUGACUUACGCCCCUAGCCUCAAGAGUCCUCUAGAAUCAAUUGUUAAUCUUAGUAAUGUGGGCUUGCACAGUGGUAUCAUAUCAAGGAAAAGAUUGGGAGGCAUCCGAUGUCACUUCAUUUCUUUCGAUUUUUUGUAAUUGGAGGAACUGUCUAUCUGGAGAAUAUAAAUUUGGUAUACAGUCGGAUUGAUUCUCUUGGUACUUUUGUUAAUGCAGAAUCAUCUGAAAAUGUGUUUUUCUUUUUUA